rnacentral:lncRNA from 1 species
GGGCCGAGUGCGGGAGAGGACAUGCGUCUUUAUCCCACAGCAGAGGGAAACCUCCCCAGGCCUCUAGUCCAGGCCUGACCCCUAUCGGGGUGGCCUUUGGGAGGGAGGGUCCCUUGGGAUGCUAGGUAAAGAUCGGGGAGGUCAGGGCGGCAGGAGCCGGGCUGGCAGGAGGCUGACGGUCCCUGCAGGUGCAUAAAGGUGCAGGAGAACUGGCAAGACCCCAAGAAUGGAUAUGCCUCCUUAAACGUGUGUCCUGUGUGCCCCGCUCACCUUACCCGAGACCCAGCCCCAGCCCCGGUCACAGAGGGAGAAAUUUGAAUAUAAGACACAAUGGAAAUAGCAAAACCAGUUCCACUCUCCUUAGUCUUCUAAACAGAAAGAGGGAUUCGAUGUGGGAAGCAGUAAAAGUUUAUUCCACACCAGGAGAUUUUAUGUUUUUGCCCCUAGAGCACUUUUCCCCUUGUUUUACUCGUGUUUUGGAAAUCUAGAAGACUUGCAAGUAUGGAGGAAAACAAUGAAAACAGCCUAACUGUUGGAUAUUUUUAAAAGAAAAUUCAGCAGAGCAGUUUACCCCCUUCCAGAUGUGGUUUCGCAUGGGCACAGUGGGACGGAAACUAGAUUCUCAACAGCAAAAGCCUUAUUUUCACUGAGAGUGGUUGAAGGAAAAUUAUUGUAUGCUGUUAAAAGAACUGAAAAACAGCAUGUGAAUCUCAUCAGCUGGAUAUAUUGUGACAACAUCAGCUGAUUGUUAUGCAUCUCAAAAUAUGAAACUCCAUCAAUUUUUCUAAAUUUGCUUUUGCACAUCAGUGGAACUUGAGCGAGCUAUCUAUCUAUCUACCUACCUAUCUAUCUAUCUAUCUAUCUAUCUAUCUAUCUAUCUAUCUAUCUAUCAUCUAGUCUAGAAAGCUGAGAAGGAAAGCAGAGACCAAAAGCCCAGCUGGAAGGGCACCUGUUGGCUGCAUCUGUUGACUGCACCUGUUAGUAGCAUCAGGAGGCACACCUGCACAAGGUGUGGAGUAGUCUGGGGGCUUGUGGGAGAGGGAGAUGAUCUGAUCGACACCACCAGUCUUCCCGCAUCCUCAGCACCACCUCCAUCCUCAUCGGAUGUAGAUACACUAUCCAGCCUCAGUGACUCGCUCCAGCUCACGCACCUGCUACAUGGACAUCGUGGAGGCCAAGCUUCUGAUCUUGGCAGGACAGUGGCUCUGCACAGCUGACCAUUUGACACCCCAGGACCUAGGGAUGGACAUGGUGAAAUAUAACAUUCUGAUCUGGCCCUAAAUCUGCUGCUUGGUCACAGAAGGCCAAGGGAAGGCUUAUGCGGUUAAGGGAAAAAACUCACCCGAAGCAUAUCAAGUGUUGUCUGCUGUCAUCAGGCUCUGAGCAGUUCUCUCUACAAUGAUGCUUAGAAAACCAGGAAGAAAUACUCCCACCUCCAAGGCUGUGUUGCUAAGUGUGUGUUUCCAGAGUUGCCUUGGGCAAAGUCCGUUGCCCAUCACCACAGCUUCGGGUCAUCGCUGCCACGAGGACUCCCCCUUCACAGGUCAGCUGCACCCAGCACCCAUCAAAACCACACGGAGAUCACCUGUGACAACCGGGGAACAGACAACUUUGCACGUUCAUGCCCCAGGUGUUAGUGCAGGUGCUCUCGGGUGAUGGGCUUAAACCUGCCCUGAACUCUCUCUGUGUGUGUUAAAGCUUUCAAAUAUGAAACAUUUCUGCCCUGGGCAGGACAAUAGGUCCACACAGCUGACCACGUGACACCCACGACCCUUUCAAAUAUUUCUAAAAGUUUCAGAUUCUCUAAUUUUCGUUCUUGGCCUUUUGUUGUUGUUGUAACUUUUUUAAAAGGAAGAAGGGAAUCCACGCUUCCCUGCCUGCUUGGCCUGAGUUGACGUCCUUGCUCUGGGCUGUGAGGUCUACAUACCUGGCCCUGCAAGGUUCAGCCCCACGCAUGGACCUUCUGUGUCUGCAACCUCCCAGCAUCAGCACGAAAAAGCAACCUGCCGUAGAGAGCGGGGGUGUGGUCCAGCAGUCCUGCACCUGCUGGGAUGUGGAUGAGGCGCAUGCUGAGAACAACCCGGUGGGAAAGGCCUACUUUCUCAAGUGCUCCUUCUGGGAAAACAGCCCCAGGUGUUCAGAGACCAGCUGCAGACCAAACGGCAAAGCUGCAGACCAUCCCCCGCCGGCCUUUGUGACCAAGAAGAAACACCCUGUGAGUUAAGUGUCCAGUUAAAACAUGGAGAGGCCAAGGUGAUGGCUGAGCGGCACUCAGUGUUGGGUCCUUCUGGCUUGGGAAGGGCACGCCCCGUGCCUUGAGCCCUUUGUCACACGUUUUUGUUCCAUGAAACAGAUAAUUGCUGAUUUGGGGACGAUAACCUCAGAUACUAGCUAAACCAUUUUUGAACUUCCCAAGGAGCCUUUACUCGCUGUCAUUUGAUCCCACCCUUCCCGGCUUUUCAUUCCUGAUCCCACUUGUUUACAGUGAAUUUAAUCUCUGUCAUACUGAGGGUUUAGUGGGACAAAUCCCAACCUCCCUGGCCAUGUGACCACAUCAGCUCAGCCCAGAAAAGGGGCUUUAAAUGUGUCUAUCUCUCGAAAGAACAAACAGUCUCAAGGCUUUAAAACUCCCCCUGUAAAGAGUCUUUAAAGGACAUCAGCCCUUGGAGUGAUAGGGGGACCACCCCGGGACAGGAUAAACCAGGUUUU